CUUUCCCGUAUACCAACCUAUUCACACAAAAUGACUCCAAGAUUGUCUGAAAUUUUGUUUCUUUACUAACAUCAUGUUUCUAGUUGGACGA
rnacentral:misc_RNA from 1 species